UUGGGAUAUUUGUGGCAUAUGGAGGGCACACUUGUGGUACUGGGGGAUUUGUGAGGGUUUGUGAUUUUUGGGUAUUCACAUUUGGAAGGUCUUAAACAGCUUGCGGUUUUCAGAGGAGUUCUCCAAGUUUUUCAGACCCCUUAAGAUGGUUUCAAGAUGUCCGAGACUGCUAGUUAUUUUCCAAACAGUCGAACGCCAGCUCCAGCCUAGUUUACAACCAGUUACUGCUGCUGCUUGUGAACGUGCCACAACUUGUGUCCUCUGCCAGCUGACCACAGCUUCUCUCCCACCAGCAACCAGCACUUGCAUCACCAAAUCCUCGCUCACCCUGGCAUCUCCUUUUCGCUGAGUUACGAUCUUCCUCUCUGUUGUCAUCUCCCUGCUCUGCCAUGCUCCUAAAGGACCACUUCAGGGCUGAUUUCUGACUGGCUGCAACCUCUCUUAGGAGAAAAGGACCCGGACGUGGCUGGGCUUCCACGCAAGAAAGCAAAUAACCAUCAGAAGUCCUUCUACUUCUGUGUCUGUGAAGAAGGAGAUGCUGUGUUCCUAAGGCGGUUCAUCCAAGUCCCAGAGGCAGCACAGCAAGGCUGGGGUUUGUAAAAACUUCUGGUUUUGCUAGGGUGUGUUUUGGUGUCUCUGGGUCGCCUGGAAAAUCGAUGGGAGUGCGGAUUCAGAAGACUGAACACUGCUGAGACUUUUACCCGUAAAACCACAUCUUUUAAAAUAGAUAGUGCAUUCCUGUUUAAGGAAAUAUAUGAAUAAAAACCACUGGGUCUUUUAUGAAUCAGCCAUCAGGAAGAAAGCAUUUAAUCUUGUCGAUGUAAGAGAACAGGGAAAUUAGCUAUUAACCAGGCACUCCUCAUCUACUUCAUUUUUUAGGAAAAAUAGUAGCGAGGGGAAAGAGCCAAAUCCGAGACAGGGCUGCUUGGCCUGCAGACCAGGGGCUAAUUCAAACCCACCAGUGCGAUUCCCUGCUCCAUUUUUUAAUAAAAAAAAAAAAAAAGAGGGAGAGUGAGAACAUAAUAGCAGCUGGGCUUCUGCUAAGUCUGACGCCUUUAUCUUCCCAUUCGGAUGUUGUUUGGCCAGACAGUCUGGUAAACAUGUUUGAUGUAAUGCGAGGGGCUAAUUAGCGCUGCCGUCAUCUUUGGACCUGGCUGGUCCAGCCUGGGGCUUUCAGAGGUGACUUGCUCUGACAAGGACAACGGGAUGUCCAACUGACCGGCACCGGCUGAAGAUGUGAUUUUUGGACAGUACCAAGCAGCUGUUCUCUGGAAAUCAAGGUGAUCCUAAGUGUCACCAGCUGGGCACCGGGACACAGGGACAAGACGGUUUCAUUAGUCACUGUUACGCUCUUGGUCCCUGGAUCUCCGAAAGGCCAGGAGAGGUUGCGAAUUUGCUAUUUUUGCUGUGUCGGAGAAGUAGAUGUGACAGUCUCGCUAUCUGAUGGAAAGCUGAGAGCAGAGCUAUCUCCCUGGAGAAAGCAAGGAGAUAGGUUGAUAUCUUUUCCUCUUUAUUUAAGCGAGCUUUUCUGUGAUUAACUGACCUGCUUACUCCUGGUUUCCAAAAAGGCGCUCUCCUACGUGAAGAGGUUCACGCCUUCAUUUUGCCUUUAGCGGGGGUGCUCGCAGGAACGCUCUUUAUUUGCACAAGCAAUACCUUAAUUCGGCUUUGUUAAUGGUGGCUGUAAUUCCAGGUGGAGAAUAGAUUUCCUCCUCCUGGCUGUCCAGCUUCUCCCUCUUCUUCUCCUUCCCCCUUCUCCUCCUCUCCCGUUUCCUUAUGCAGUUUGCCCCGUCCCCUUCUCCUCUCUCGUAUUUUAUACCUGCGCUUUUGCUCUUUGAGAUUUUGGCAGUUCAGAUCCGUCUGUUCCUUACUGAUGAUGGGAAGAUACUGUAUCAUAGCCGGCACAGGCAGGGCCCCCUCGGAGCCGCGGCAGUAAUUAAUGGUAAUCCCUUAAUCUGCGGGUUAUGUCAGAGACCGCAUUGCCUGCUUUUUCCCCUCCUGAGCACAGAGAGGUGUCAGACCCUCAAAAGCAGAACUGCCUGUCUAACAUUACAUGGGGGGGCCACAGGUUGGGGUUUUUUUCUUAUAUAUAAAUAACUAGGUAUUACCAGGCAUCUCUUUUUAUUUUUUUUCUCUUUGCGUGUUUGCUGUCAUAAUCUGGUGCGACCAGCUUUGCCACAAAGAAGGAAAACAAUCUCUUUCAAAAUUUUAAGAGGCAUUAGUGGUGAAGUUUGCAAGGACAUGUGUUCUUCCCUUCUGCCCUUCCCUCUGGCAUCAACAUUUUUAAUCAGAAAGGAGGCUGAACGCCAAAAAAGAACCAUUUUGCUUGGACAACUUAGCAUGUUUCAUCUGGAAUUUUCCUGAACACUUUUAUCCGGUCAAUCAAAACCAUUCAACUCUCAGCCAUCCAGUGUAAAAAUAACCUUUUCUGAAUUUUGGGUCUUUUGACACCAACAAGAGGUGACUGAAGAAAACAUCAAGACGACAAAAUCCCCACAGAAAAUUGCAUUUGGAUGCAAAAGCCUUUUUUUUUUUCUAGAAUGAUAAGUUUGAAUAAAAACAAAGCAUUGAGCA